GAUCCUGGCUCAGAUUGAACGCUAGCGGGAUGCCUUACACAUGCAAGUCGAACGGCAGCACGGACUUCGGUCUGGUGGCGAGUGGCGAACGGGUGAGUAAUGUAUCGGAACGUGCCCAGUAGCGGGGGAUAACUACGCGAAAGCGUAGCUAAUACCGCAUACGCCCUACGGGGGAAAGCAGGGGAUCGCAAGACCUUGCACUAUUGGAGCGGCCGAUAUCGGAUUAGCUAGUUGGUGGGGUAACGG
rnacentral:rRNA from 1 species